rnacentral:rRNA from 1 species
UGCACGGACGCAGCAGUCGGGAAUAUUGCACAAUGGAGGAAACUCUGAUGCAGUGACGCCGCGUGCAGGAAGAAGGUUUUCGGAUUGUAAACUGCUUUAGAUAGGGAAGAAAAAAGACAGUACCUAUAGAAUAAGCUCCGGCUAACUACGUGCCAGCAGCCGCGGUAAUACGUAGGGAGCAAGCGUUAUCCGGAUUUAUUGGGUGUAAAGGGUGCGUAGACGGGAAUUUAAGUUAGUUGUGAAAUCCCUCGGCUUAACUGAGGAACUGCAACUAAAACUGAAUUUCUUGAGUGCGGGAGAGGAAA